UUGCUUCAGCAGCACAUAUACUAAAAUUGGAAUGAUACAAAAGAUUAGCAUGAUCACUGAACAAGCAUGACAUGCAAAUUCAUGAAGCAUUCCAUAUUUUA
rnacentral:snRNA from 1 species